AUUGAACGCUGGCGGCAGGCCUAACACAUGCAAGUCGAGCGAGUGGCGGACGGGUGAGUAAUGUAUGGGAAUCUGCCUGAUGGAGGGGGAUAACUACUGGAAACGGUAGCUAAUACCGCAUACCAUCAGAUGUGCCCAAAUGGGAUUAGCUUGUAGGUGGGGUAACGGCUCACCUAGGCGACGAUCCCUAGCUGGUCUGAGAGGAUGACCAGCCACACUGGGACUGAGACACGGCCCAGACUCCUACGGGAGGCAGCAGUGGGGAAUAUUGCACAAUGGGCGCAAGCCUGAUGCAGCCAUGCCGCGUGUAUGAAGAAGGCCUUCGGGUUGUAAAGUACUUUCAGUCGGGAGGCGUUACCCACAGAAGAAGCACCGGCUAACUCCGUGCCAGCCGCCGCGGUAAUAC
rnacentral:rRNA from 1 species